UACGAAGGGUGCUAGCGUUGUUCGGAAUUACUGGGCGUAAAGCGCGCGCAGGCGGUCUUCCAAGUCAGUGGUGAAAGCCCGGAGCUCAACUCCGGAACUGCCAUUGAAACUGUUAGACUUGAGGACGAGAGAGGUGAGUGGAAUUCCCAGUGUAGAGGUGAAAUUCGUAGAUAUUGGGAAGAACACCGGUGGCGAAGGCGGCUCACUGGCUCGUAUCGGACGCUCAGGCGCGAUAGCGUGGGGAGCAAACAGG
rnacentral:rRNA from 1 species